GAACGCCUUGUGCGAUGAAAGUCGCCUGCAAGGUGUGGACUGGGGGAAAACAAGUAUUCUGAGCAAGUCAUGUUGCAGAAGAACGUUACCUAUCAGUAU
rnacentral:ncRNA from 1 species